UGCUUCGUAGCUCAGCUAGUAGAGCGUGCACGUACAAAACGUAGGCGGCGUCCAUGUGUGGGUUCAAAUCCCACCGAGGCUA
rfam:Echinostoma caproni strain Egypt genome assembly, scaffold: ECPE_scaffold0000086